CCUACGGGGGCAGCAGUGGGGAAUAUUGGGCAAUGGGAGCAAGCCUGACCCAGCAACGCCGCGUGAAGGAAGAAGGCUUUUCGGUUGUAAACUUUCUGUUAGAGGGAAGAGCAGAAGACGGUACCUCCUGAAUAACCCACGGCGAACUACGUGCCAGCAGCCGCGGCAAUACGUAGGUGGCAAGCGUUGUCCGGAUUUAAUGGGGGUAAAGGGCGUGCAGCCGGGAAGACAAGUCAGAUGUGAAAUCCCGCGGCUCAACCGGGGAACUGCAUUGGAAACUGGUUUUCUUGAGUACCGGAGAGGUGAUCGGAAUUCCUUGUGUAGCGGUGAAAUGCGUAGAUAUAAGGAAGAACACCAGUGGCGAAGGCGGAUGACUGGACGGCAACUGACGGUGAGGCGCGAAAGCGUGGGGAGCAAACAGGAUUAGAUACCCGUGUAGUC
rnacentral:rRNA from 1 species